UUUUAUUUUGAGCUAGAAAACCAACUUUGGCCUUUAAUGAACAGUCGCCAUCACGCGGAAAGGCCAUUAAAAAUAUUAUGGGAUGCUCAGCAAAUUAAGUUAAUUUAAGAUAUGAAGAGAAAGCCAAAAAGUAAAAAGAGCACAUUCGUAUGGAUCAUUUAGGAGUGUCAUCAACGUUGGAAUUUUCAUGAAAAGAGGGUGACUUCAGAUCAGAUGUGGAUUGUUGGUGCAAGCUAGUAGAAGAUGGAUGUUGCUCGUUGGUCUUUUGGUUGGCAGAUUGUCUAGCAAUUGAGUAUUCAGGAACAUAUGAGUCAAUGUACUUAAUAUUGUGUUGUGUUUUGUUGGUAUCCGCAUUUUCGCUUGCUCGAGAUGUCGUUUGUACUUUGCUAUUAUUCUGGUAUCUGGAGGACACAUUCCAUGCUGGUUGUUGAGACUGGGAAGAUUGUCUUCCUUGACGGCCGUAAUCCGAGGGGUUUCUUAAUCGUUGAGAUCGGUCUUGUUCAGGCCGGUAGUAGCGUUGACCGUCUGCAUGAGAAUGAUUAGAAGUUUGAUUCAUAGCGUUAGUUUCAGAAAAUUCGGAAUUUUUCUGUGGCAAAUCAGACGUUAAAGGUUUAAAAUUUUGCUGACGCUUAGGCUGAUAAUUAACAUUACGACUUCUAUCCAUGUUACCGCCUUCACGAUUGUACGAACCACGUUGGUAUUGCGGUUGUGAGUUAUAAUUUGGCCGACGAAUUCCAUACCACGGAUCGCUAGGUCCACGAGUCAUGAACCGGAACUGUCUCUUACCAUUAGCGGUUUGUUCAAACGCAUGUGAAUUAGCAUCUCUCUGUUCUCUUUUCCUUCUUUUGUCGUACUCAUGAGAAGCACUGUAGCUCUGUAGUUCAGAAGGGUUUGCUGGAUAUGGUGGUGUUGUAAAAUAUUCAUGCUCUAAAGCCAUUGAAGCAGAUAAACGUUCAUCCGGAUUAAGGGUCAAAAUAGCACCGCAAAGAGAAGUCAUUUCCUUUCCGAAAGUAAAAAAUGCAGUUUCAAGUGUUCUAGGGUGUGAAGGAAAAGAGCGAACGCCUUCGCACCCAGGAAGCUUUUCCCAAUUUGGCAUAGUAGCUU